GGAGAAGUGGCCGAGUGGCCUAAGGCGCACGCCUGGAAAGCGUGUAACCGUCAAAAGCGGUUCGAGGGUUCGAAUCCCUCCUUCUCCG
rnacentral:tRNA from 1 species